AUUGAACGCUGGCGGCAGGCUUAACACAUGCAAGUCGAGCGGGGUGAUGGUGCUUGCACUAUCACUUAGCGGCGGACGGGUGAGUAAUGCUUAGGAAUCUGCCUAUUAGUGGGGGACAACAUCUCGAAAGGGAUGCUAAUACCGCAUACGUCCUACGGGAGAAAGCAGGGGAUCACUUGUGACCUUGCGCUAAUAGAUGAGCCUAAGUCGGAUUAGCUAGUUGGUGGGGUAAAGGCCGACCAAGGCGACGAUCUGUAGCGGGUCUGAGAGGAUGAUCCGCCACACUGGGACUGAGACACGGCCCAGACUCCUACGGGAGGCAGCAGUGGGGAAUAUUGGACAAUGGGGGGAACCCUGAUCCAGCCAUGCCGCGUGUGUGAAGAAGGUCUUCGGAUUGUAAAGCACUUUAAGUUGGGAGGAAGGGCAGUAAGCUAAUACCUUGCUGUUUUGACGUUACCGACAGAAUAAGCACCGGCUAACUCUGUGCCAGCCGCCGCUGUAA
rnacentral:rRNA from 1 species